UCAAGUUGACUACUGAAAAAAUACAUAAUUUAAACUCAGGUUUGUUUUGGAGCAGGAAAUGGUGAAGAACUCCAAGGAGGCCAUCUACCUGAAAGAGAGAUACUAUAUGCAAUGGUAUUUUGGACACAUUAUAGUAAUUCUUGAGAAUGUUUUAAUGCUGGAGAUAUGAAGAAAUAGAAGUUUGAGAAACCUUCACAUUCUCAGAGAUGUUCAGAUAAAAAAACU